rnacentral:misc_RNA from 1 species
GAAAUGCGAUAAGUAAUGUGAAUUGCAGAAUUCAGUGAAUCAUCGAAUCUUUGAACGCACAUUGCGCCCGCCAGUAUUCUGGCGGGCAUGCCUGUCCGAGCGUCAUUUCAACCAUCAAGCCCCCGGGCUUGUGUUGGGGACCUGCGGCUGCCCGCAGGCCCUGAAAACCAGUGGCGGGCUCGCUGUCACACCGAGCGUAGUAGCAAUCACCUCGCUCAGGGCGUGCUGCGGGUUCCGGCCGUUAAACAGCCUUACAAAACCCAAGGUUGACCUCGGAUCAGGUAGGAAGACCCGCUGAACUUGAGA